UACGUAGGGGGCAAGCGUUGUCCGGAAUCAUUGGCGUAAAGCGCGUGUAGGCGGCCAGAAAAGUCCGCUGUGAAAACUCGAGGCUCAACUUCGAGCUGUCGGUGGAAACUUUCUGGCUAGAGUCCGGAAGAGGAGAAUGGAAUUCCGUGGUGUAGCGGUGAAAUGCGCAGAUAUCAGGAAGAACACCCGUGGCGAAGGCGGUUCUCUGGGACGGUACUGACGCUGAGACGCGAAAGCGUGGGGAGCGAACAGG
rnacentral:rRNA from 1 species